GCUCUGAGUCGCCUGCGCGCGCAUCUUUCGUGGCGCGCAGGAGGUCGCGAUUCUUUGAGGUCACUUCACUUCCCAGGAACCCAUCGUCCCCUUUGGCCAAUCAUCACAGUUUUGAAGGCGGGAAGAGAAGAAACUCGACAAAUUCCGAAGCGGGCUGACGGCGCCAAAGAGAGAGGAAAGUGUAGAGCCGACAUCCUAUACCUUCAAGCCAAUCUGGUUUUCUGGUGUGAUUAGGAUCAUUGCCUGACCCAUUGUUGACCAAGCAUUAGCUGUCGGAGAGAUGGCCCACCAUCUCUCGGUUUGCCUGCAGCCACAAUGGAGUAGAAGGCCAUGCAGCGUGUUGGGAUUGUCUGUCCCCCAACCCCACUGGGUGCCUCUGUCUGCUGCUACCACACAUCGGAAUCGCAGCCUCCAUUAAAUCAGCAACAUUUUGAAGAAUCUGGGCAAGAUGGAUAAAAGAAA